AACCCUUUUUGAAUUACUCAAAUGCUAUCAGAAGUGAAAUUUUUCAGAAUGAAGAAGCUGCAGGGAUUAACACAAAAACAUCAUAUACAUGCCCAUUUCAAUAAGUUCCAUGGAAUCAAGGGUAAAUGAUCUUCUUCUAAAAUCUGUGGACAUUUGUAAAGAGAAAGAGAUUAAUUAGAGCAUACACAAUACAUUAAAACUUGAUUAAGUAGACUUAAUCAACCAAAUUAACCACAAACUAGGCACAUCCACGAUUCAUAUUGAGAUACAGUCUACCACAACGUUCAAGUAUUUUAGAAUUCUGAGGAUCAGGAAGGCAUGAUGUGUAGCCUAUACCUCUCACGCAGUUAACUACUGGAGCAGAAGGCCGUAAAGAUGCUGCUAUGUUUAGACUUGUCGCUGCUUGUUCAGACUCAAACAGUAACUCAACGUUUUGGUCGUCUGCAAUCAGGCAAUCUUCGAUGGCACCAUUGCAAAACUGGAAGGUAGUGCUGCUGGUGUUGCUCUUGGGCGAAGAACUGGCUAUAGCUUGGUCUGGGUUGAACAGUAUCAUCACUAGGAUCAGUAAACCGGAACCUCCCAUCAAGUUUUUCGACAUGUUCAUCUUCUUCCUAAGGUAGCUCGAUCACUCUACUUCUGUGAAGUUUUCUGGCUGAGUGGUAUAUAGUGCGAAAAUUUUUGUCCGCUUGUCUAUGGGGAAUCAAAUCAAAAGAAACGUACAUAUGGAAAUGUACAUGGUUGAGAAAAGAAGAUGGAGACAGAAGAUCAGAGAAAACAAAAAUAUCCUUAGUGCAAUUGCACGAAAUAUACAUUAUUGGAGGGGGGACCUAAAGAUGAAGGCACCAUGUUUUGGCGUCUUGGUUCCUUUCCAAAGACUUAAUUGAAGGUUGCCAUUGAUCUUUAAGAAACUUUUAAGUCUUGGAAGGAUUUGGCCAGCUUUGUCUUUGUGAUUAUGUGGUGAAAGAGGCUAAACGAAGGACUGGACUGCAGAAGACAGAUUCAAAUGGUAGCCAUGACUUGGACUCACAGGCAACACUGUUAGUGAUAAAAAAUGUCUACUUGUUCAGUGGAGCUCAGCAAUAAUGGCUACAACAACACCGCCAUGAUGAUGCACGACCAACACAUUGAAUUCUUAAUGGAUUCCCCCGUCAGCAGCAGCUUGGCUAUUACAUUUUACAAAGCCUUCGACGCUUGCCACAGGAUCUCCUAAUCAUCCGGCUGUAACUGUGGCCGAGGAAAGCCAUCCAGCAGCUGUCUUCCCAAACCAAAUUCCCCCCCAAAGAUUCAAGAACAUUGUAGUCAUGUAUACAAGCGAAUGGUAAUCAUCUCUGGAAAUAGUCCUGCAUCAAUUGCCUCAAAAGUUAUUCGAUUUCAACUCAUUUGAAAAAACUCAAAUUCAAAUUUGAAUUUAAACUAAAUUUUGAGUUC